GGAGGGGUGGCAGAGUGGUUGUAAUGCAGUCGUCUUGAAAACGACCGGCCCUUCAACAAGGCCCGUGGGUUCGAAUCCCACCCCCUCCG
rnacentral:tRNA from 1 species